GUUUCUGUAGUGUAGCGCUCAACACAUGCGCUUUUCGCGCGCAACGUCCCCAGUUCGAUCCUGGGCAGAACCA
rnacentral:tRNA from 1 species